UACAGAGGGUGCAAGCGUUGUUCGGAAUUACUGGGCGUAAAGCGUGCGUAGUCGGUAUUGAGAGUCACGGGUGAAAUCCCAAGGCUUAACCUUGGAACUGCCUGUGAGACCUCAGUACUAGAGUGUGGUAGGGGGAGACUGGAAUUCCUGGUGUAGCGGUGGAAUGCGCAGAUAUCAGGAGGAACACCGAUGGCGAAGGCAGCCUUCUGGGCCAACACUGACGCUCAUGCACGAAAGCGUGGGGAGCAAACAGG
rnacentral:rRNA from 1 species